CCUACGGGUGGCAGCAGUGGGGAAUAUUGGACAAUGGGCGAAAGCCUGAUCCAGCCAUGCCGCGUGUGUGAAGAAGGCCUUCGGGUUGUAAAGCACUUUCAGUGGGGAAGAAAGCCUUGGGGCUAAUACCCUCGAGGAAGGACAUCACCCACAGAAGAAGCACCGGCUAACUCCGUGCCAGCAGCCGCGGUAAUACGGAGGUUGCGAGCGUUAAUCGGAAUUACUGGGCGUAAAGCGCGCGUAGGCGGUCUGAUAAGCCGGUUGUGAAAGCCCCGGGCUCAACCUGGGAACGGCAUCCGGAACUGUCAGGCUAGAGUGCAGGAGAGGAAGGUAGAAUUCCCGGUGUAGCGGUGAAAUGCGUAGAGAUCGGGAGGAAUACCAGUGGCGAAGGCGGUCUUCUGGACUGACACUGACGCUGAGGUGCGAAAGCGUGGGUAGCAAACAGGAUUAGAUACCCUGGUAGUC
rnacentral:rRNA from 1 species